ACUUGCCCCUGACGGAAGGUGCUUCGUUUGUUUUAUGGCAGAGCCGAAACUUGUUCGGUCAGGCGGCGAAAAAUCGUCGUCUGCUCCAGCGCGUUAACGCGCGGGCGGACGCGAUCGACGCGCAAGCAUGCGCCGAAGACGGCGAUAAGGAAAAGGGGAGGGAGGAAGGGACGCGUUCAGGGGGGGAGACGCUCGCGUCCCUUCCUCUCUAGCGCGACGCCCGGUUAGGGGGAGAGGGC
rnacentral:sRNA from 1 species